rnacentral:rRNA from 1 species
UACGUAGGGAGCAAGCGUUGUCCGGAAUCAUUGGGCGUAAAGCGCGCGUAGGCGGCCCGAUAAGUCCGCUGUAAAAGUCAACGGCUCAACUGUUGAAAGCCGGUGGAUACUGUCGGGCUAGAGUACGGAAGAGGCAAGUGGAAUUCCCGGUGUAGCGGUGAAAUGCGCAGAUAUCGGGAGGAACACCUAUGGCGAAGGCAGCUCGCUGGGACGUUACUGACGCUGAGACGCGAAAGCGUGGGGAGCAAACAGG